GGCCCCGUCGUCUAGCGGCCCAGGACGCCGCCCUCUCAAGGCGGUAGCGCGGGUUCGAAUCCCGUCGGGGCUA
rfam:Micromonospora carbonacea strain JXNT-1 contig1, whole genome shotgun sequence.